UACGUGGGAGGCGAGCGUUAUCCGGAAUUACUGGGCGUAAAGCGUGCGCAGGCGGUUAUGUAAGACAGGUGUGAAAUCCCCGGGCUUAACCUGGGAACUGCAUUUGUGACUGCAUAGCUAGAGUACGGUAGAGGGGGAUGGAAUUCCGCGUGUAGCAGUGAAAUGCGUAAAUAUGCGGAGGAACACCGAUGGCGAAGGCAAUCCCCUGGACCUGUACUGACGCUCAUGCACGAAAGCGUGGGGAGCAAACAGG
rnacentral:rRNA from 1 species